rnacentral:lncRNA from 1 species
ACACACACACACACACACACACACACACACACACACACACACACAUCACCACAACCACCACCACCACCACAAACUAGUCACCACACAUAAACUCACCCAUCACACACAGCCAAACCCUCACCAAGUCACCACACACAACUGCACUCAAUCACACAGUCACCACACAUGCACUUAAACCCACUCAAUGCAUCACAAUUUAAUAGGCAAGGGUAUUAUUUGUGUGUGUGUGUGUGUGUGUGUGUGUGUGUGUGUGUGUGUGUUGAGCCUUAUUAAUCAUGCAAAGGAGUGGAGAUACAUGAAGGAAUGACUGUAUAUUGUAGGUUCAUUGCAAGUAAGGCUGUUAUUUGGCUCCACUUAUGCAUUGAUUCCUUGUCUAUUAAAAUGAAUCAGUUAAAAUGUGUUGGUUGGUUCUGCCUUGCUGAGAGAGAGAGAGAGAGAGAGAGAGAGAGAGAGAGAGAGAGAGAGAGAGAGAGAGAGAGAGAGAGAGUUUCAUGUGGUGUUAGAGAGUAGUGUCUAAUAUUAUGUGUGUCAAAAUGAGAACAGCUCCUCACCAUUUAUUGAGUUGGAUCUCCCUCCCGCCACCUCUCCUCUCCCUUAAACUAGCAAAGAAUGAGAGAAUCAGACUCCAUCACUGAGGAAUUCAAGCCUUUUUGACACCACACUUUUCAACACGUACUCGGGAUUAGGAACAGAGAGGAAAAAAAAAAAAAAAAAAAACGAAGAGGAUCAAACUCCAACAAUUAAGAGAUCCACCAUUUUUACACAUUUAGAACCUAAGAAAAUACAUAAUAUAAUGACUUUCCUCUUUUAUCAUAGAAACUACGUACGUACAUAUAUACAUACGUUAAUGCAUUCACUUUGAACAAUGCACAAUAUGAAAAUGCCAGUCAAACAUAAUGAAUUUUUACUUUGAGAGUGGACUUGUUAUUGAGACUCGAGUAUGCACGACCGAUUGAGUGAUUUUGAGUACACGCGACCAAUUAAUAAUUAGCUUGCCUGCCUUCACAAUUCACUAUGCAACAAUUAUAACACCACGGGAGAGAAUUCUUAAUCGUCUCCUAUAGUUCAGGUCGAGGUCUGUUCUUCCAUGGUCGAUACAGGAAAGUUACUUCAUUAUUACAGUACAUCAGUGCCAAAAACAGAGAAAAAAACCUGCGUAUUGAAACUAUAAGUGGACGCAUUCUGAAACCUUGCUCGCAUCUCCGCAGUCAGAAUUCUCUAUGUAGUAGAAGUGACAUGGGUUUCCAAGGCUGUUUCUAUGGUUCUAGUGAGAUAUUGACUACAUUUCUGCAUUAUGAACUGAAGAAACACCCUUGGGAAUCCGCCUGGUCAUCUCUUUGGCCUUUGGAAACACUCGUAGUGAGAGAGCGUUUCAGAAUGCGGGCAUACGGGCGGAGACUGACAGUUGUAUGGUGGCCAAGUAAUGCAUAGGGAAUGAGGAAUAGAACUGUGUCAUGUAUAGUGAUUUGAUGAAAGUAAACAUGUAACAACGUCGAUGAGUAUAGCAAUGUAAGGUGACAGUAUGAGUAUAGUGUAUAACGAGGCUGAAUAAUAUAUAGGCACACGAAAUACAAUGUAAAACAGUGUGCAUAUAACAAGGACACCAUCUAGGAGGCUGAGAACUCGUAAAAUAUACUGACAUGAUAAAAAAAAAUUAAGCAGAGUAUAUAUUUUGCCUAAUCCAGCCAUACAAUUAUACAGGCAGCAUCCAGCCGAGCCUAGCCUAGCCGCGCACCAACACCACCACCUCGGCCAGCCCACCUUAGACCAACCUCGCUCUCUUUCGCUCCCAACCACAUGCAUUCUCCAAUUAGAACUGGAGCGAGAGAGGGCGAGGUGUAUUGAAGUAACGUGUAUGAGUUUCAGAAAGCUUUAUUUUGUGGAGGCUAGCGUGGCUUGGCUCAAGGUGGUCAUAUUUGUGUUACUGUGGCGGUGGAGCGUGGCAGCAGCUGGCGGUGUCGCUGUGUGUUGGUUUAAUUAAAUCUUCAUGAUCAUCAAUGUUCAGCGUAUUGGCUUAAUAUCCUCUCGUCUUUUUUGCCUGUCUGUCUGUUUGUCUGUCUGUCAUCUAAUCUUUCCAUUUAUCUGUGUAUUAUUAUUUCCUCUUUUCGUUUCCUUUCUCUCCAUUACUCAUGUUCUUACAAGUAUUUUAAUCUUAUCUGUGUAUGACUUAGUCAAAUAAAUGUAUAUUUAUAUUUUCUUAGCAUUCCUAAAAAACAUGUACAUAAAUUUUUGUUGUUGUUCUAAAUGAAUAAAUAAAACCAAUAUGA